rnacentral:pre_miRNA from 1 species
AGCUUUUCGAACCCGUACGGAGAUCUCGUCAGACACCGACCCACUGGGGCUGAUCAGACUUCCAAAAUAAGUGAAGUU